AUUGAACGCUGGCGGCAUGCUUUACACAUGCAAGUCGAACGGUAACAGGCCGCAAGGUGCUGACGAGUGGCGAACGGGUGAGUAAUGCAUCGGAACGUGCCCAGUCGUGGGGGAUAACGCAGCGAAAGCUGCGCUAAUACCGCAUACGAUCUAUGGAUGAAAGCGGGGGACCGUAAGGCCUCGCGCGAUUGGAGCGGCCGAUGUCAGAUUAGGUAGUUGGUGGGGUAAAGGCUCACCAAGCCAACGAUCUGUAGCUGGUCUGAGAGGACGACCAGCCACACUGGGACGGAGACACGGCCCAGACUCCUACGGGAGGCAGCAGUGGGGAAUUUUGGACAAUGGGCGCAGGCCUGAUCCAGCAAUGCCGCGUGCAGGAGGAAGGCCUUCGGGUUGUAAACUGCUUUUGUACGGAACGAAACGGUCCUGGUUAAUACCUGGGGCUAAUGACGGUACCGUAAGAAUAAGCACCGGCUAACUACGUGCCAGCCGCCGCAGUAACAC
rnacentral:rRNA from 1 species